rnacentral:rRNA from 1 species
UUAAGUUAUUAAGGGCGCACGGUGGAUGCCUUGGCACUAGAAGCCGAUGAAGGACGUUACUAACGACGAUAUGCUUUGGGGAGCUGUAAGUAAGCUUUGAUCCAGAGAUUUCCGAAUGGGGAAACCCAGCAUGAGUUAUGUCAUGUUAUCGAUAUGUGAAUACAUAGCAUAUCAGAAGGCACACCCGGAGAACUGAAACAUCUUAGUACCCGGAGGAAGAGAAAGAAAAUUCGAUUCCCUUAGUAGCGGCGAGCGAAACGGGAAGAGCCCAAACCAAAAAGCUUGCUUGUUGGGGUUGUAGGACACUCUAUACGGAGUUACAAAGGACGACAUUAGACGAAUCAUCUGGAAAGAUGAAUCAAAGAAGGUAAUAAUCCUGUAGUCGAAAAUGUUGUCUCUCUUGAGUGGAUCCUGAGUACGACGGAGCACGUGAAAUUCCGUCGGAAUCUGGGAGGACCAUCUCCUAAGGCUAAAUACUCUCUAGUGACCGAUAGUGAACCAGUACCGUGAGGGAAAGGUGAAAAGCACCCCGGAAGGGGAGUGAAAUAGAACCUGAAACCGUGUGCUUACAAGUAGUCAGAGCCCGUUAAUGGGUGAUGGCGUGCCUUUUGUAGAAUGAACCGGCGAGUUACGAUUUGAUGCAAGGUUAAGCAGUAAAUGUGGAGCCGUAGCGAAAGCGAGUCUGAAUAGGGCGUUUAGUAUUUGGUCGUAGACCCGAAACCAGGUGAUCUACCCUUGGUCAGGUUGAAGUUCAGGUAACACUGAAUGGAGGACCGAACCGACUUACGUUGAAAAGUGAGCGGAUGAACUGAGGGUAGCGGAGAAAUUCCAAUCGAACCUGGAGAUAGCUGGUUCUCUCCGAAAUAGCUUUAGGGCUAGCCUCAAGUGAUGAUUAUUGGAGGUAGAGCACUGUUUGGACGAGGGGCCCCUCUCGGGUUACCGAAUUCAGACAAACUCCGAAUGCCAAUUAAUUUAACUUGGGAGUCAGAACAUGGGUGAUAAGGUCCGUGUUCGAAAGGGAAACAGCCCAGACCACCAGCUAAGGUCCCAAAAUAUAUGUUAAGUGGAAAAGGAUGUGGCGUUGCCCAGACAACUAGGAUGUUGGCUUAGAAGCAGCCAUCAUUUAAAGAGUGCGUAAUAGCUCACUAGUCGAGUGACACUGCGCCGAAAAUGUACCGGGGCUAAACAUAUUACCGAAGCUGUGGAUUGUCCUUUGGACAAUGGUAGGAGAGCGUUCUAAGGGCGUUGAAGCAUGAUCGUAAGGACAUGUGGAGCGCUUAGAAGUGAGAAUGCCGGUGUGAGUAGCGAAAGACGGGUGAGAAUCCCGUCCACCGAUUGACUAAGGUUUCCAGAGGAAGGCUCGUCCGCUCUGGGUUAGUCGGGUCCUAAGCUGAGGCCGACAGGCGUAGGCGAUGGAUAACAGGUUGAUAUUCCUGUACCACCUAUAAUCGUUUUAAUCGAUGGGGGGGACGCAGUAGGAUAGGCGAAGCGUGCGAUUGGAUUGCACGUCUAAGCAGUAAGGCUGAGUAUUAGGCAAAUCCGGUACUCGUUAAGGCUGAGCUGUGAUGGGGAGAAGACAUUGAGUCUUCGAGUCGUUGAUUUCACACUGCCGAGAAAAGCCUCUAGAUAGAAAAUAGGUGCCCGUACCGCAAACCGACACAGGUAGUCAAGAUGAGAAUUCUAAGGUGAGCGAGCGAACUCUCGUUAAGGAACUCGGCAAAAUGACCCCGUAACUUCGGGAGAAGGGGUGCUCUUUAGGGUUAACGCCCAGAAGAGCCGCAGUGAAUAGGCCCAAGCGACUGUUUAUCAAAAACACAGGUCUCUGCUAAACCGUAAGGUGAUGUAUAGGGGCUGACGCCUGCCCGGUGCUGGAAGGUUAAGAGGAGUGGUUAGCUUCUGCGAAGCUACGAAUCGAAGCCCCAGUAAACGGCGGCCGUAACUAUAACGGUCCUAAGGUAGCGAAAUUCCUUGUCGGGUAAGUUCCGACCCGCACGAAAGGCGUAACGAUUUGGGCACUGUCUCAACGAGAGACUCGGUGAAAUCAUAGUACCUGUGAAGAUGCAGGUUACCCGCGACAGGACGGAAAGACCCCGUGGAGCUUUACUGUAGCCUGAUAUUGAAAUUCGGCACAGCUUGUACAGGAUAGGUAGGAGCCUUUGAAACGUGAGCGCUAGCUUACGUGGAGGCGCUGGUGGGAUACUACCCUAGCUGUGUUGGCUUUCUAACCCGCACCACUUAUCGUGGUGGGAGACAGUGUCAAGCGGGCAGUUUGACUGGGGCGGUCGCCUCCUAAAAGGUAACGGAGGCGCUCAAAGGUUCCCUCAGAAUGGUUGGAAAUCAUUCAUAGAGUGUAAAGGCAUAAGGGAGCUUGACUGCGAGACCUACAAGUCGAGCAGGGUCGAAAGACGGACUUAGUGAUCCGGUGGUUCCGCAUGGAAGGGCCAUCGCUCAACGGAUAAAAGCUACCCCGGGGAUAACAGGCUUAUCUCCCCCAAGAGUUCACAUCGACGGGGAGGUUUGGCACCUCGAUGUCGGCUCAUCGCAUCCUGGGGCUGUAGUCGGUCCCAAGGGUUGGGCUGUUCGCCCAUUAAAGCGGUACGCGAGCUGGGUUCAGAACGUCGUGAGACAGUUCGGUCCCUAUCCGUCGUGGGCGUAGGAAAUUUGAGAGGAGCUGUCCUUAGUACGAGAGGACCGGGAUGGACAUACCUCUGGUGUACCAGUUGUCGUGCCAACGGCAUAGCUGGGUAGCUAUGUGUGGACGGGAUAAGUGCUGAAAGCAUCUAAGCAUGAAGCCCCCCUCAAGAUGAGAUUUCCCAACUUCGGUUAUAAGAUCCCUCAAAGAUGAUGAGGUUAAUAGGUUCGAGGUGGAAGCAUGGUGACAUGUGGAGCUGACGAAUACUAAUCGAUCGAAGACUUAAUCAA